CAUCUCUCAUUUGAAUGGCUCUGUGUUUCCCCUUAAUCGAUAGAAAAAAACCAGCUACUCGGCUUCCAAACCACGUCUGCUAAACUGGAUUGAUUUCCCAAACCCCAAAAAUCACUAGGAGUAUCACAUAAAUCAGAUCAGAUCAGAUCAAAAUUCUCGAAGUAAAAAUCUGCAUCUUGCUUUUCAUUUUGCAGGGUGGCCUUUGUCUUUCGUGGAUUUGUGGAUUUGGUCUU